CCUGAUCAUCACUGGUGCUGAGGUUGAUUGGGAGGCCAGUCCUCUUUUUGAACACUGGGAUAGCGAUAGAAAGAGCACUGCCAAGCACAAGAAAAGCACCUGUAACAGUCGAAAAUUCAUUAAGUACAAAUAGCGACAGCCGAGCGAGACGAUGGGUUGGUAGGUUGGUUGUUUAACGCGGCACUCAGCAAUAUUCCAGCUAUAUGAGAGGUCUGUAAAUAAUCGAGUCUGGACCAGAAAAUCCAGUGAUUGACAUCAUGAGCAUCGAUCCACGCAAUUGGGAUACGAUACCGAGCGAGACAGAAGAUCUUUAGUGAUGUAACACAACAUUGCUGUACUACGAUGGCCGGCUGUUUCUCCAGUCCUCCCCUAACGAAACAUGUCUGGCGUGAGAUGGACGGACGCCAACAACUGGACCAGAAACGCUAGCUCGCAUGGGCCUAUCAAUGGUGGACAUUUGGGUUGUGUUCAAUCAUCGAGUAACUCGGGAGUUUUCAAUGCGCCGCCGCUGCCUCGCCUGUGUCAAGGCAAAUGGUGGUCACACCCCAUACUGACAUUGUUAAUUAAGUUUACACCACCCCUUCUCUAGGGCGUGU